rnacentral:tRNA from 1 species
GCUUUUAUAGUGUAAUUAAACACAUUGGUCUUGUAAGCCAAAGAUGAGACUUUUCUGAAAGCU